GACGGAGGAUGCAAGUGUUAUCCGGAAUCACUGGGCGUAAAGCGUCUGUAGGUGGUUCAAUAAGUCAACUGUUAAAUCUUGAGGCUCAACUUCAAAAUCGCAGUCGAAACUAUUGGACUCGAGUAUAGUAGGGGUAAAGGGAAUUUCCAGUGGAGCGGUGAAAUGCGUAGAGAUUGGAAAGAACACCAAUGGCGAAAGCACUUUACUGGGCUAUUACUGACACUGAGAGACGAAAGCUAGGGUAGCAAACAGG
rnacentral:rRNA from 1 species